rnacentral:rRNA from 1 species
AGCGAACGCUGGCGGCAGGCUUAACACAUGCAAGUCGCACGGACGGAGCAAUCCGUUAGUGGCGAACGGGUGAGUAAUGAAUCGCUAAUGUACCCCGGACUCCGGGAUAGCCGGCCGAAAGGCCGGGUAAUACCGGAUGACAUGACCGGCCCGCAUGGGCUGGUCCUCAAAGGUCCGCCGGUCUGGGAGCAGGCGAUUUCGUAUCAGCUAGUUGGCGGGGUAACGGCCCACCAAGGCGGNGACGGGUAGCUGGUCUGAGAGGAUGGCCAGCCACAUCGGGACUGAGACACUGCCCGGACUCCUACGGGGGGCUGCAGUAACGAAUCUUCCACAAUGCACGAAGUAGUGAUGGAGCGACGCCGCGUGUAGGAUGAAGUCCUCGGUAGU